GGUUUGGUAGCUCAGUUGGUAGAGCAAUAGACUGAAAAUCUAUGUGUCGGGGGUUCAAUUCCCUCCCAAACCA
rnacentral:tRNA from 1 species